rnacentral:lncRNA from 1 species
UCCUGCUGCCCAUGUAAGACAUGCUUGCUUCCCCUUUGCCCUUUCAGCAUAAUUGUAAGCUUCCUGAGGCCUUCCCAGAAGCAGAAGCCUGUACAGCCCAUAGGACCAUGAGCCAAGAAAACCACUUUUCUUUAUAAAUUACCCAGUCUCAGGUAUGUCUUUAUAGCAGUGUGAGAAUGGACUAAUACAGAUAGCUAUUAUCAAAAAGUCAAAAGUAAAUGAUGGUGAGGGUGUAGAGAAAAAUCAACUCUUGUACACUCUUGGGAAUGUAGAUUGGUAUAGCGAUUAUGGAAAAUAAUAUGGAGGUUUUAAAGAAAUUGAAAAUAGAACUACCAUAUGGCCCAGCAAUCCUUCUUCUGGGCAUUUACACAGAGAAAAUGAAAAUUUUCACCACAUAAAGAUAUCUACACUCCCAUGUUCAUUGCAAUAUUACUUAUAAUAGCCAAGAUAUGGAAACCAUCUAAGUGUCUGAGGACAAACUAAUGAAUAAAGAAACUGUGGUACAAUGGAAUAAUAUUCAGUCCUAAAAUGAGAAUGUGAUGUUGCCAUUUCCCACAAUGUGGAUGAGUUUGGAGGACAUUAUGCUAAGUGAAAUACAUCAAACACAGAAAGAAAAAUACUGCAGCAUCUUAUUUAUAUGGAAAAUUGAAAAAAAAUAUUUCCACACAGUUACAUAGCAAAAGAGUGAAUACCAGGAAGGCAAGAAGAGAAAAUGGAGAGACAUAGGGUCAGAGAAGGCAAAGCAGCAGAUAUGUAGGAUGAAAAGUCUCAAGAUUUAAUGGGCAACAUGAAAAUUGUAGUUAAUAAAAUUAUACUGCAUAUGGGAAUUCAUGCUAAAUGAGUAGAUUUUAGCUAAUCUUGCCACAAAAACAAAAAUAGGUAACCAUGUGAGAUGAUAGACAUGUUAAUUUGCUUCACUGUAGUAAUCUUUUUACUCCCUGUAUAUAUGCCAUAAUAUCAUGUUGAUACCUCAAAUACAUACAGCAAUUUUUCAAAAAAAAUUGACAUAUAUUAAAGAGGGCAGAAGUUUGUUUUCAGGGAUUUGAAUCGGACCCCCCUAUAGGAAAUUUAUUUGUAAGAGAUCAGAAAAAAAGAAAGUACAUUAUAAGUCAAAUAUAUCUUAAAGUAUAGUUCUCAAUUUUUAUACCAAAUAUAAGAUAGAGCCAAUUAUCAUUCAUCUAUAUAUUUUGUUGUUUAUAAAUGUUGAGAGAAAUUUUAUUGACCCAUAAUGAAGGAAUAAUAUCUUGCCCUAGCUCUGAAAAGUAAAUCAUUUAACAAAAUGAGAAAGGUUGCUUGAGAAUACAUUAUGCCCAAAAUUUCCACUUCCAGAAAAUAACAAUGAUGACAUUUAAUCUUUGAAUAUUUAUGUUGAAAAGCCUUUCAAGUAUUUUAAGGAAUCUGCUUCUGAAAUUCUUCAAUAUGGAUUAAUAAUGAGUAGGCAAAUGGGAAACUCAGUACAUGGUGAUAGGACUAAACAAAUGAAUGUAAAGUAUGAAAAUGUUUUAUUCACACAUAGUUUACAAUAUUUAGCACCACGUACUACAAAUCUCAAUAGACUUUUCUGUAACUUAAAUUAAUUUUUCAAAAAUCACUUUGAUGCUACAUUUCUCUCUUUUGCUUAGAAGUAAAAUAAGUUGUUACCAUCUUUUCAAUAAAACACAGAUCCCCAGACAAUUGCUUAGCCCUCUGUAAUUUACAACCUUUCUGAAGAACUCCAAAGCUGCAAUCCAUUUUGCCAAGGGGUUACUGCAGUCACAGCUACUGGCAGUUCUCCAAGCCAUAUAGGCGAGCACAGAGCAGAAGGCUAGAUCUCCAAGGACCUGAACAAUCUCCUUAAGAAUUGAGUGUGUUGGCUGUACAAUCCUCAUCUGAAAAGUUCAGUGACCAUGAAAUCCCCUGGGAUUUUAUUCUCCAUCAUCACUUGCAGGACUCAAAUACAUUCCCACUGGCAAGGCAGGCAGUGCUCCGGUGUUCUAGUAACAAACAAAGGGAAUCUGGCCUUGAUUUUGGUUAGUCGCUAUUUUAAGUCUUCCUUCUAUUCCAAAGCAUUUGAGAACCUCUAUACUUGCUCUUAUCUUGUCUUCAGACUUUCCAAAGUGCUUGAGUUGACAACUUGCUAAACAGGAAAAUUACGCUAGGAGGAA